AUGAACGCUGGCGGCGUGCCUAAUACAUGCAAGUCGAACGAGUUCUGAUUAUUGAAAGGUGCUUGCAUCUUGAUUUAAUUUUGAACGAGUGGCGGACGGGUGAGUAACACGUGGGUAACCUGCCCUUAAGUGGGGGAUAACAUUUGGAAACAGAUGCUAAUACCGCAUAAAUCCAAGAACCGCAUGGUUCUUGGCUGAAAGAUGGCGUAAGCUAUCGCUUUUGGAUGGACCCGCGGCGUAUUAGCUAGUUGGUGAGGUAACGGCUCACCAAGGCAAUGAUACGUAGCCGAACUGAGAGGUUGAUCGGCCACAUUGGGACUGAGACACGGCCCAAACUCCUACGGGAGGCAGCAGUAGGGAAUCUUCCACAAUGGACGCAAGUCUGAUGGAGCAACGCCGCGUGAGUGAAGAAGGCUUUCGGGUCGUAAAACUCUGUUGUUGGAGAAGAAUGGUCGGCAGAGUAACUGUUGUCGGCGUGACGGUAUCCAACCAGAAAGCCACGGCUAACUACGUGCCAGCAGCCGCGGUAAUACGUAGGUGGCAAGCGUUAUCCGGAUUUAUUGGGCGUAAAGCGAGCGCAGGCGGUUUUUUAAGUCUGAUGUGAAAGCCCUCGGCUUAACCGAGGAAGUGCAUCGGAAACUGGGAAACUUGAGUACAGAAGAGGACAGUGGAACUCCAUGUGUAGCGGUGAAAUGCGUAGAUAUAUGGAAGAACACCAGUGGCGAAGGCGGCUGUCUGGUCUGUAACUGACGCUGAGGCUCGAAAGCAUGGGUAGCGAACAGGAUUAGAUACCCUGGUAGUCCAUGCCGUAAACGAUGAAUGCUAGGUGUUGGAGGGUUUCCGCCCUUCAGUGCCGCAGCUAACGCAUUAAGCAUUCCGCCUGGGGAGUACGACCGCAAGGUUGAAACUCAAAGGAAUUGACGGGGGCCCGCACAAGCGGUGGAGCAUGUGGUUUAAUUCGAAGCAACGCGAAGAACCUUACCAGGUCUUGACAUCUUUUGAUCACCUGAGAGAUCAGGUUUCCCCUUCGGGGGCAAAAUGACAGGUGGUGCAUGGUUGUCGUCAGCUCGUGUCGUGAGAUGUUGGGUUAAGUCCCGCAACGAGCGCAACCCUUAUGACUAGUUGCCAGCAUUUAGUUGGGCACUCUAGUAAGACUGCCGGUGACAAACCGGAGGAAGGUGGGGAUGACGUCAAAUCAUCAUGCCCCUUAUGACCUGGGCUACACACGUGCUACAAUGGAUGGUACAACGAGUUGCGAGACCGCGAGGUCAAGCUAAUCUCUUAAAGCCAUUCUCAGUUCGGACUGUAGGCUGCAACUCGCCUACACGAAGUCGGAAUCGCUAGUAAUCGCGGAUCAGCACGCCGCGGUGAAUACGUUCCCGGGCCUUGUACACACCGCCCGUCACACCAUGAGAGUUUGUAACACCCGAAGCCGGUGGCGUAACCCUUUUAGGGAGCGAGCCGUCUAAGGUGGGACAAAUGAUUAGGGUG
rnacentral:rRNA from 1 species